rnacentral:lncRNA from 1 species
UGGCGUACAAGGUUUGGCAUAAAUUCCUAAAGUAGUAUGAUUGGCGGAGUAAUAUUCGCCCAAGUGCACCUUUUGGCGUAUAGAGUGGGCAUAUACAAUUAUGUGUUUAAGUUAAUAAAGGUUCUAUGUCAGGUGGCUAUGUUAGUUGGAAUAAGACCAAUGGCCAAGUAAAAUGGUAUUGAGAGUAUGAGUUCACGUCAAAGGUAUAGUGCGCCCUUAACUGUAG